rnacentral:rRNA from 1 species
UACGGAGGAUGCGAGCGUUAUCCGGAUUUAUUGGGUUUAAAGGGUGCGUAGGCGGGUUAUCAAGUCAGCGGUAAAAUCGUGGAGCUCAACUCCAUCCAGCCGUUGAAACUGAUGAUCUUGAGUGGGCGAGAAGUAUGCGGAAUGCGUGGUGUAGCGGUGGAAUGCGUAGAUAUUAGGAGGAACACCAGUGGCGAAGGCGGUUUGCUGGGCCAUUACUGACGCUCAUGCACGAAAGCGUGGGGAGCAAAUAGG